rnacentral:lncRNA from 1 species
AUGUCAGGCAGAAGAUCCAAGAAGAACCAGAGACUUGGUUCAUCUCGACGAGGUCCUAAAGGUCUUAACAGCAAUAUCGAGAAAGAUGAUGAUGGGUCUGAGGAUGGGCUAAAUGAAUUUCACACCUCCACUGAUUGCCAUUCAACCCAGUUUGAUCAUCCACCAAGCUCAAGCGUUGAUCAACAAACAUCUGCAUUAGAAUGUCCUCCACAUGCAAGGGGUCACAAGGAUUCACUCAUGGAGAAUGAACUGUCAGAACGGAAAAGAAAAAUGGGAUCAACACGCAAGAGUACUGGUAGGUUUAAAGUUGAAAGAAAACUUGAAGUGAGGACCACUGGAGAGUUAGAUGAAGAAUAUGUAACUCAACCAAACACAUCAACCAGUGAGGAACAACAUGCUUCUCUAACAGAAGAAGAACAAUCAAGGUCAAUGAGGUUUCCUUCUGAUUUAUCCCUUCAGACAAAAAGUUCUAGAUUGAGAAAGGAGCCUAGAACAACUCUUAUGUUUGCGGUUUUAGAAAAUGAAGAAAAAGAUGCAAUCCACUAUCAAGAAAUAACAUCUUAUUCACAUGAGGUUGUAAGUGAUAUGCCUAUAGACGAGGAAAUGGUACCAUCUGUCCAUUCUAUUGAUGUCACAGUAGCUGAAAGUGAUUUGUUGCGGAAGGAUUCAGUCAUGUUUGAUGAACCAAAAACACUUAGUCACCAAGAAAUCCCAAUAGCCAGUACCUCUGGACAAAAAAGAAGGAUGGGCUCAACCCGCAGGCCUCUCGGAGGGAAAAACAGUGACAAUGUAGGUGUGCAAGAACAUUCAAGAAACAUGACAGAGAAUGGAAGUAAAGCAGAAGUCAUAGGCGAAGCAAAGUUCAUGUCAGAAGAGAUGGCGCAAACAUGGGAUGAUGUGGCAAGAGAUGUUUCAUCGUCUCACACAGAAUCAGCUUUGGUUUUAAAUCAGUCUCUGUUGGCUGAGAGAGCUGAGCUGAAAGAGCCUGAUGUUUCAGCAGGAACUGAAACUAUGAACCAAUCAGUUGCUUUUCCCCUUGUUGAUUCAGAAAAGCCCCUACCUGAAACAUCUAGCCACCAUGGAACUCCAUUACUCAACGAGGGAUUGGGUUUUAAGUUUGGUUCACACACUGAGGAUUUUGUAAACAAAGUUUGGAAAGAAGCAGAAAGUCAUUUAAGUGAUAACAGCCAACAUGUGCCUGAUACAAGAAAAGAUACAAACACAUCUUACAACUUUAGAGAUGUAAACACAGAAGCCAAUGAGGAGGUUUUAAAACAGAAAGAGGAACUUUCUAUAAAUGAUCAAGAAUCUUCAUUAAAGCAACAUGACAUAGCUACUCUAGAUAAUAACUGCGAUUGUUCUAUGGCUCAACUUAUAGUGGGAGGAAGUAGAAGUUAUGAUGUGCCUUUGCCUAAUAUUAGCCAUGCAGAACCCACAGCAACCAAUUUACCACAUGAGAUGAGUGAUGCUGUUGAUGAAACGCAAGAGAUUCAUAUGGAAAUUAAACAAGAAAGUAAUGUUUGUGAUGUUGCUUCAGUAACAUGUGAUACUCUGACUGAUUUAGAAUGUAUUUUGGAAGAAAAUAAAGAUCCCCAAAUUUUAGCUGCGAGAGAAAAUGAGAAUACGAGUGAUCAAAGAGGAUCUGAAACAGACAAUGCAUUUGAAAUUACAGGCCAGGGUGAUGUAAGAGAUCACAAUGUAACACAAAUAAUAAUGGAUGUAAGAGAUAAUGAAAAAGACGGAGAAACAAGCACAGAGACCAUUUGGAUUUCACACCAGAAACCGUGUGAAGUUUCAGCUGAAAAAGAGGAGCUAUAUAAGGAAAAAGAGCAAUAUUCAUCGAAUAGAUCUCAAACACACAGUCCACUACAAGAUGAUGCUGGGAAGAUGCUAGAAACUGAUGAGGUUAGAAAAGGCAAAAAAGAGACUGCUGCAGGUAAUGGUGUGACCUCAAAGACAGAGGAAAUGUUUAGUUUUAAAGACUCAGCAACAGAUACAAGAUCUCGCGCACACCAACAACUCUUCAUGCAAUCUCCUGAUAAAGAAGGCUAUGACUCACAUGAAAAUGUGAAUGAGAAAAGUGAAGGAAUACUUUUCAGUGUAGAAUCUGAGAAUGCAGCUUUUGAUAGAGGCGAUGGGAGAAGUGAAGGAACAGAAGGAAUUAAGGAGAUGGAUGCAGAACCCAUUGUGAUAUCAGAUGUGGACACUGUGUAUAAUGAUAGUGAAUCAGAAAACCCAGAGCAAAACAGAGAAUUAACAGAGGAGCAAACUGAUACAUCCUCUGAUACAAACCUGCAAGUAUUACUUGAAAGAGACACAGUUCUCAUGCAAAGUGACAGCAUAAUUCCUAAAGAUUCUCACAGAGAAGAGGCACACUCAAAAUCAAGUCCAGUUAUUCAUAAGAGAAAAAUGGGCUCAACUCGUAGACCUCUCAAAGAGAAUAAAGGACAAAGAAAAGAACAUGAUGAGAAAGAAAUCUUCAGUUUGGACAAUGAAUCUAGAUAUAUUGCAGCGAGUGUCUGUGACAUUUCAGAAUCACAAACCCUCCCAAAAACUCAAGCAUUGUCCCAGGAAGAUACUGGAGAUGCUGAAAUAGUGCCAGCAGAGGGAGACACAGAACGUCACUUAGAAAACAAAACAUUUGACUCAACAGCAUUUGAAGAAGCAACAGAAGAGAACAUCUGUGAAGCUAAUGUUUUAAUCAAAGAAGUUGAGUUUAUUGGAGAUACAGUUACAGUGGAGAGUAAUAUGACUACUGGGUCAGAUUUUAUUCAAAAUGACACUUCCUCUAAUGCAAAACAGGAAGCAUUAAUAGUAUCUGACAAUGCUGAGUGUGAAGUUCAGGAAGAUACAGAUGCAAUUCCCAAGCAAAGUGACACCACCAUCAUUCCUGAAGAUAUUCAGAGAGAGGAGGCACACUCAGAAUUCACAGUUAUUCACAAGAGAAAAAUGGGCUCAACUCGUAGACCUCUCAGAGGGAAACAUGGACAAAGAAAAGAAAAAGAACAUCAUGAUGAAAAUGAGACACCUGACAGUGAAGGUAUGAUCAAUGUAGAGAAAGAAACAAUUAGUUUGGAGGAUGAACCCAGUCUAGAUGAAUCUACAUUACAAAGUUUAAAAGAUGGAGCUAAAGAACAGGAGAUGGAAGUAUGCGAGAAGAAUGAUGUUGGUCCUGUUGAAGGGUCUGAAUCCGCUGACCUGCAGUCAUCAUGUAGUUCAGACUUAACAUCUGAGGAAUCCAUUGCAAUAAGUAUCUGUCACAUCACAGAAUCACAAACCCUCAUGAAACUGAAUGAAGAGUCCCAGGAAAAUGCUGGAGAUGCUGAAAAAGUGGCAGCAGAGGAAGACAAAGACUUACAAUUAAAAAUUGAAUCACAGAACAAAAUAUUUGACUCAACAACUAGUGAAGCUGAAGGAACAGAAGAGAACAUCAAUGAUGUUAGUGUGACAUUAGUCAGAGAAGUUGAAGUUAUUGGAGAUACAGGUACAGUGGAGAGUAAUAUGACUACGGAGUCAGAUUUUCUUCAUACUUCUCCUGAUGCACACAUCGAAGCAUUGAAAAUAUCUGAAAAUGCUGAGGAAAAAGUUUCAGGAGAAACAGACACAAUUCUUAUACAAAGUGACAUCAGCAUCAUUCCUACAGUUUCUCACAGAGAAGAGGUACACUCAAAAUCAAGUCCAGUUAUUCAUAAGAGAAAAAUGGGCUCAACUCGUAGACCUCUCAAAGGGAAUAAAGGACAAAGACAAGAACAUAAUGAGAAAGAAAUCUUCAGCUUGGAGGAUGAACCCAGUCCAGAUGAAUCUAGGUAUAUUGCAGUGAGUAUCUGUGACAUUUCAGAAUCACAAACCCUCCCAAAAACUCAUGCAGGGUCCCAGGAAAAUACUGGAGAUGUUGAAAUAGUGCCAGCAGAGGGAGACACAGAACGACACUUAGAAAACAAAACAUUUGACUCAACAGCAUUUGAAGAAGCAACAGAAGAGAACAUCUGUGAAGCUAGUGUUUUAGUCAAAGAAGUUGAGUUUAUUGGAGAUACAGUUACAGUGGAGAGUAAUAUGACUACU